UACGAAGGGGGCUAGCGUUGUUCGGAAUUACUGGGCGUAAAGCGCGUGUAGGCGGGUCUUUAAGUCAGGGGUGAAAUGCCAAGGCUCAACCUUGGAACUGCCUUUGAUACUGGAGACCUUGAGUCCGGGAGAGGUGAGUGGAAUUGCGAGUGUAGAGGUGAAAUGCGUAGAGAUUUGGAGGAACUCCAGUGGCGAAGGCGACUUUCUGGUCUGUAACUGACACUGAGGCGCGAAAGCGUGGGGAGCGAACAGG
rnacentral:rRNA from 1 species